UUUAUUUGGAAUUUAAAGGUCACCUUCCGUCGUUUUUUCUUUCAUUUUAAAAUGUCUAGUUGUGGUCUCUAGUAUGAAUGAAUGACAUGUGAGCCGUUUUUGUAAAAAAAAAAGUGCUCAGGUGUCUCUGUAUAGCUCUUUUUUAAUGGACUGUUUUAGGGGUGUGUCCAAAAUGACCGGAUUCCAGCUUUGCUCAUGAAUAUUCAUACAUGCAAACAGCAUGCAAAUAUCUCUCCUCUGAUUGGCUAGGAGCACUGCGACGCCCCUCCACCGCUCUGCCGCUCACUGCCUCCCACCUCCUAACUGAUGAGCGGUGAUGUUGCGUCGCUUCAGCUCCGCCUCUGGGAGUUUCUCGAGCCAAGGUGGGCUGGUCUGUGAGUUUCUGCCUACGUAGGCAGAAAGAUCAUUCAAAAUUCACCCGUUUUUCGGAGGGGGGGAGGGGGGAUUUCUUUGCUUAGCUCCUGCAGACAAUGGGGGCUGCAAAACAGUUUAAUGUGCAGGUGUACACAUUCAACUCGGAGAGACCUACUGUAUUCCACAAAGAACAAGAAAAAUCGGAUUUUCGCGGAAGGUUCUUCCUCUGUCCUACCAGCACAAGAGAUGUUAUCUUGGCAUGUGUUAGCCUGCACCUUGCCCGUGCGAUGAAGACUGCACCUACAUACCCGGUGAGCUUGUGCGAUGUGAGGACAUCUGGGCACAGGCCUGACCAUCUUCUUCUCCUCUUUCUCCUGAAGUUUAUUUUCCCUGUUGUACGCGUAUCUCACUCCGCUGGAGACUAGGUUUAUAGAUACUGCGCUCAUUGAAGGGAAGAUCUGUUGUGGAAGAUUCCGGACAAAAAAAAAAAAAAGUGACUUCCGAGGCCAGUGGAAAGACGUGGCUCCGGCACGUGCCCGAAUGUGUGAGGACUCUUUGUGGUGCAGCUGGAUGAAACGGAGCUGAAUGAAUGCAUUUCGAAGGCAGUGUGCAGCAAAGACAAAUGAGGAAGGCUAAUUUGUAAAUCUAGUUCAAACUGAUUCAAAUAUCCUUACACAAUAACUUAAUAACAUAAUUCAA
rnacentral:lncRNA from 1 species